GGAAUAUUGCACAAUGGGCGAAAGCCUGAUGCAGCGACGCCGCGUGAGGGAUGAAGGCCUUCGGGUUGUAAACCUCUUUCAGUAGGGAAGAAGCGAAAGUGACGGUACCUGCAGAAGAAGCGCCGGCUAACUACGUGCCAGCAGCCGCGGUAAUACGUAGGGCGCAAGCGUUGUCCGGAAUUAUUGGGCGUAAAGAGCUCGUAGGCGGUUUGUCGCGUCUGGUGUGAAAACUCAAGGCUCAACCAUGAGCUUGCAUCGGGUACGGGCAGACUAGAGUGUGGUAGGGGUGCCUGGAAUUCCUGGUGUAGCGGUGGAAUGCGCAGAUAUCAGGAGGAACACCGAUGGCGAAGGCAGGUCACUGGGCCACUACUGACGCUGAGGAGCGAAAGCAUGGGGAGCGAACAGGAUUAGAUACCCUAG
rnacentral:rRNA from 1 species